rnacentral:rRNA from 1 species
GCCAGACUCCUACGGGAGGCAGCAGUGGGGAAUAUUGGGCAAUGGCGCAAGCCUGACCCAGCAACGCCGCGUGAAGGAAGAAGGCUUUCGGGUUGUAAACUUCUUUUGUCAGGGACGAAGCAAGUGACGGUACCUGACGAAUAAGCCACGGCUAACUACGUGCCAGCAGCCGCGGUAAUACGUAGGGGGCAAGCGUUAUCCGGAUUUACUGGGUGUAAAGGGAGCGUAGACGGCAAUACAAGUCGGAAGUGAAAUACCCGGGCUCAACCUGGGAACUGCUUUGGAAACUGUAUGGCUGGAGUGCUGGAGAGGUAAGCGGAAUUCCUAGUGUAGCGGUGAAAUGCGUAGAUAUUAGGAGGGACACCAGUGGCGAAGGCGACUUUCUGGACCGUAACUGACGUUGAGGCACGAAAGUGUGGGGAGCAAACAGGAUUAGAUACCCCGGUAAAU